CUUGAUUAAUUAUACUUGAAAUAUUUGAAAGAACAGCCUUGCAGUCAAUAUAAACUUAUUUUGCAAAAUAGUUAUCUUGCUUAUUGUUUCUGUCUUUUAGGUUUUAAGGUUUGAACUUCAACAAACGACAACUUAACCUAGAAAUUCGGAUAUGGUGAUCAUGGAUGGCUGGAGUGCAGUCACACAAUCAUGGCUCGCUGCAACAUUGAUUUCCUGAGCUCAAUCAAUCCUCCCACUUCCACCUCCUGAGCAUCUGGGACUAAAGGUCUGUGUGCAGACAUUUAAAAAAGUCCUUCAGAGAUGUCUAGAGUUGAGGCUGACAAUCCUGCAUAAGACAUUUUUAAAACCUGGAGAAAGUCACCAAAGAUCCCUUGUUUAUUGAUAUUAGUCCAAUAAGUUGCUAAGUUUUUGACUUCAUCAUAUAACUUGCCAAUGGCAUGAUGAAAUUGCAAAAACCAUAUAAAAUAUUUUAAAAUAUGUUAAAAAUAAGUUGCUGUUGUGGAUGAUAUCUAAAAUACUUGCACUGUACUUAAGCAGAUUCUGAUGUGUUCUAUUUUAAUCCGUGUACUUUCAGGAAAAUGCCAAGAUUUAAAAUUAUAUUCUUAUUAGGAG
rnacentral:lncRNA from 1 species